AAAAAGACAAAUCCUGGUUGCCGUGCCCAACAUUUGACCGUCCGUCUUAUUUGAAAAAAUUAUGAAAAAAAUUUAAAAAGACAAGUCACGCAUAAAAUAUUAAUCAUGUUUUAUCAUCUAACAAUAAUAAAAAUACGAAUUAUAAAAAAAUUUCAUAUAAGACGGACAGUCAAAGUUAGAUACGUAAACCUAGGGUUUGCCUUUUU
rfam:Oryza nivara chromosome 1, whole genome shotgun sequence.